GUGGUCACCAACCCAGUCCUCAUGGACCACCAGCAGUCCAGGUUUUAUCCAUUUUCAGUUUCUCCAUUUGAAUAAAAUAGGGAAAUACAUAAAUCCUUGACUGUUGGUGGUCUAUGAGGACUGGAUUGGGGACCA